rnacentral:SRP_RNA from 1 species
GCCAGGCGCAGUGGCUCAUGCCUAUAGUCCCAGCUACUUGGGAGGCUGAGGUGGGAGGACUUACUUGAGUCCAGGAGUUCCGGGCUGUAGCAUGCUAUGCCUAUCGGGUAUCUGCACUAAGUGUGGCAUCAAUAUGGUGACCUGCCGGGCACAGGGGACCACCAGGUUGCCUAAGGAAGGGUGGACCAGCCCAGGUCAGAAACAAAGCUGGUCAAAACUCCCGUGGUGAUCAGUAGUGGGAUCACACCUGUGAAAAGACACUGCACUCCAGCCUGGGCAACAUAGUGAGACCCCAUCUCU